GAUGAACGCUAGCGGCAGGCUUAACACAUGCAAGUCGAGGGGCAGCGUGGGGCAGCAAUGCUCUGACGGCGACCGGCGGAAGGGUGCGUAACACGUGAGCGACUUGCCCGUCACAGGGGGAUAACCGGCGGAAACGGCGACUAAUACCCCAUAUGAUGUGAUGCUGCAUGGCAUCGCAUUGAAAGAUUCAUCGGUGGCGGAUAGGCUCGCGGGACAUUAGCUAGACGGCGGGGCAACGGCCCACCGUGGCGACGAUGUCUAGGGGUUCUGAGAGGAAGACCCCCCACACUGGGACUGAGACACGGCCCAGACUCCUACGGGAGGCAGCAGUGAGGAAUAUUGGUCAAUGGGCGGAAGCCUGAACCAGCCAUGCCGCGUGAAGGACUAAGGCCCUACGGGUCGUAAACUUCUUUAGACGCAGAGCAAUAAGGUCCACGCGUGGACCGAUGAGAGUAUGCGUAGAAUAAGCAUCGGCUAACUCCG
rnacentral:rRNA from 1 species